rnacentral:rRNA from 1 species
CCAAACGGUGACCACCCGCACGUAUAGACGGACAAGAAUAGGCUUCGGCUUAGUGUCUUAGCAGGCGCCUUUUUCCACGGCGCUCGAAGCGCGUCGUGGUAUUUCGCGUAUUGUAAUUUCAACACGAGCGGGGUCAAAUCCUUUGCAGACGACUUAGCUGUGCGAAACGGUCCUGUAAGCAGUAGAGUAGCCUUGUUGUUACGAUCUGCUGAGGGUAAGCCGUCCUUCGCCUCGAUUUCCCCAAUGGGUUCUCCGGAUUUUCUGGAGACUUGUAGGGGUUGUGGGCUUUUUUCGAUGUGUCGUCUCUGGACGGGCGGUGCAGGGUAGUCGAGUUGGACUUGGUGGAAUUCGAUUCCGUCGAGUCUGGCAGGACUGUGUGCGGCUGUGUGGUGGACGGUGCAGGGUAGGCUGCUUGGUCUUGGUCGAUUCGAGGAUCGAUUCCAGGGCUGGGCGUUGGUAACUUGAGGUGUAUGCGGUCUAGGGUAAGCUGGUUUGUCUUGGUCGAAUUUGAUGUUGGCUCCCGUGCGGACCAGAUGGAGCAUGGUACAGGUCAGGUACAGGGUAGGCGGCUUAGACUUGGCCGAUCUGGGUGUCGGUUCUCUGGCUGGCGGACCUCAGAGCUUCGGAACGAGAUGGGAGUAGUGCAGGGUAGGCAACUUCUGUCUGCCAGGAUGCGAUUCGUGUUGAGGUGUGUGGUCUAGGUUAGGUACAGGGUAGGUAGAAUUCCAGUUUCGUCGCUACAUUUUGCUAUAGGUGUAGGGUAGGUACARGGUARGSMRRWUUCUCCUCCGGCCAKUACUUGCUKGUGCGUGCGAAAUGGUUUUGUGGUCUGGUGGGCGUGAGUCGAUUUUUUUGUUUUGCCAUACAAAUGAAUUUUGCGGGAAAUCAAAAGUGGCCCGCGAGUCGGGUCUGGCGUGCGUCCGACUGGAACAUUGUCGGUGUACAUAGGAGAGGGAGUAAUCCGGCCGGGCCGGGGCCCAUCGCGACCCGCAGGGUA